rnacentral:lncRNA from 1 species
UUUUUUUUUGAAAGAAUGUUAAAUUAAUUCAAACAAAAAGCUGUUUUACACUUUGUGUUACAUUGGGAUAGAAAUUUUUUUUAAACUCAAACCUAUCUAUAACCUAUCUCGUUGCAAACCAUAGAACUAAACCUCCCGUGUGCGCUCGGGCGCGGAUGGAAGACAGCCUAUUACGAACGUUUUUGUCCACCAGCUGAAUGAGCUGACUCGGGGAUAGUGGACUUUCUCCAUGCCGACGUUGAUUACGUUCCCUCCAUAUGGCAUACAAAGUUGCUUGGAACACAUAUCUCACUAUGUAAAGCUCUGUUUUGUCUCUGUUUUGAUCAAUCACCAGCUGUAUAAUCUGGUCCCACUGGUUGGUAUAGCGUGUAGCUAGCAGUUUCUGGGUUAAUCCUUUCCAAACCUCCUCUGAAAACUUGCAGACAAAGAAAAGAUGAUCUCUUGACUCUAUCGGGUCAUUGCAGAACACACAAGAGCUGGGAUGUUGAGUGCUCCAUUGCUU